UACGUAGGCGGCUUUUUAAGUCGGAUGUGAAAUCCCUGAGCUUAACUUAGGAAUUGCAUUCGAUACUGGGAAGCUAGAGUAUGGAAGAGGAUGGUAGAAUUCCAGGUGUAGCGGUGAAAUGCGUAGAGAUCUGGAGGAAUACCGAUGGCGAAGGCAGCCAUCUGGCCUAAUACUGACGCUGAGGUACGAAAGCAUGGGGAGCAAACA
rnacentral:rRNA from 1 species